GGGCUCGUGGUUUAGUGGUAUAAUACUCCCUUAGCAUCUCUAGCCUCCUGGAACAGCGAUUGGGAGUGGUCCGGGGUUCGAUUCCCCGCGAGUCCA
rnacentral:tRNA from 1 species